GACGAACGCUGGCGGCGUGCUUAACACAUGCAAGUCGAACGGUGAAGCGCCUUCCUUUUUGGUGGGUGUGGAUGAGUGGCGAACGGGUGAGUAACACGUGAGUAACCUGCCCCCUUCUUCUGGAUAACCGCAUGAAAGUGUGGCUAAUACGGGAUAUUCUGGGUCUGUCGCAUGAUGGGUCUGGGAAAGAUAUUGUUUCGGUGGGGGAUGGGCUCGCGGCCUAUCAGCUUGUUGGUGGGGUGAUGGCCUACCAAGGCGGUGACGGGUAGCCGGCCUGAGAGGGUGGACGGUCACACUGGGACUGAGACACGGCCCAGACUCCUACGGGAGGUAGCAGUGGGGAAUAUUGCACAAUGGGCGCAAGCCUGAUGCAGCGACGCCGCGUGAGGGAUGGAGGCCUUCGGGUUGUGAACCUCUUUCGCCAGUGAAGCAGGCCUGCCUCGUUUGUGGGUGGGUUGACGGUAGCUGGAUAAGAAGCGCCGGCUAACUACGU
rnacentral:rRNA from 1 species